UUCCAGUCUGACCGAACCAUCUGCUUACUUCAAAAGCCUUUAAAAUUCCUGCUUAAGCUGCUGACGGGGGUUUCCCGAUAAUGCCUGGUACCAUUUUGGGUGCCCAGAAUGUCUUUGCCAACGGCCUGGGGAAGUUCGUGGCCUCCAGAGCAGAGGAUGAGUGCAGGUUCCCUGGUGAGCCCUUGAGGAUGUUCAAACCUCAGGGAGUCAAAAUCAAUAGUUCUCGGUCAGAGACGAUCUUGCCUCCAGGGGACAUUUUGCGAUGCCCCGAGACGGUUUUGGUUGUCUUGCAUAACUGGUGAGGUGCUGCUGGCAUCGAGAGAGUGGAGGCCACGGGUGCUGCUAAACAUGCCUCAAUGCACAGGACAGCCCCCUCCUGCCGCCAAGAAUCAUUUGGCCCAAAAUGUCAGCUGUGCCGAGGCUGAGAAGCCCUGGUCAAAGGAAUCCAUCAAUUAACCUACCACCUCUCAGCAUCUCACCUGCUCUCCGACUAUGGUGAUAAAGAAGACGGCUGGCACGGUGGCUCAUGCCUGUAAUCCCAGCACUUUGGGAGGCCGAGGCAGAUGGGUCACGAGGUCAAGAGAUUGAGACCAUCCUGGCCAACAUGGUGAAACCCCAUCUCUAGUAAAAAUACAAAAAUUAGCUGGGUGUGGUGGCGCGUACCUGUAGUCCCAGCUACUCGGCAGGCUGAGACAGGAGAAUCGCUUGAACCCGGGAGGCGGGGGUUGCAGUGAGUUGAGAUCAUGCCAGUGCACUCCAGCCUAGCAACAGAGGGAGACUCCGUCUCAAAAAAAAAAAAAAAAGAAGAAGAAGAAGACAAGAACAAGAGCCAUCUCCCUUGAAACUGACUGUGGGGCUCCUCGGACUCCGAUCCUGUUUGUGUGCAUAUAUGUGUGCAAACACACUUGCACACACUCGCG
rnacentral:lncRNA from 10 species